GCAAGCAGGUGGGGUCUGUUGUUCCCGGGGCUGCAGCAGGGGCACCACAUCGCAAAUAUGCGAAUCGCAUAUAUGCAAAUUUACCUCUCAUAGAACAAAGUUCAGGUACAAAAUGGUCAUCGCAUAAGAGUGAAUUCACAUAAAUCAAACCCACAUAAAUUGAGGGAAACCUGUUUUAGUUUAAAUUGCACCACUGACCAUUUUCUGAUGAUUUUUCAGACAUUGAUUUGUCUCUCGCAUAACAAUACAAAGCAGGGGCUUGGACUAGAUGAGACCUCCUGAGGUGCCUUCCAGCCCUGCUUGUUAUGAUUACAGGAGCCCAUGUAAUUCUAUUUCCAUUAAAUCCCUAGUAAUAAUUAUUGCCCUUACUGUGAGUUCACAACUAGAAUGACACGGGGAUCGCAAAGACACGGGGUCCAUGCAGCACUGUUCAUCUCGCGGCCUCUGGUUGCUGCAGCUGCUGAGAUCAGCGCACGGGUCACAGGGAGCACGAAGGCCCUCACCAGUGCAUCGGGCUGGAGGCUCAGAGAGGAGCCCUGGGCUCCGAGUGCCCCGACUCGCUCUGUGCAGGUCCAGAGCGCUGGGAGGGGACACAAACCCGGAUGCAGGACCAGGCUCCCAGGGAGACAGGACAAGGGGCUUCCCACCAGCCUGUGCUGUGAAAGCUUCACCCCCAGGCAGGGCUCCCAGACUUGCCCCACAACAGAGCAGGGGCUCCCCAGACACGGCGCAGUGCGAGGGGCCCCGGGGCGAUACGUGCUGCGCUGGGCUGUGGGGUGCACGUGCAGAGCUUGCACUGCAAUCCCGGCACAGCGCGGUGCUGCACCACGCACACAUCCCCUCGCAGCGCACUGCCAGUGGGGGUGGUGUUGGUCCAUUGGUAGCUGCGGGGUGAGGGAGCAGGCGCAGGAGUCCCGAGGGCACAGCGGGACACGGCUGGACACAGACAAGGGGCCUGGCUCCCCGGCCGGCGUUGGCUCGGUGCCUGCAGGGGACAGCGCUGCGGGCCGCACUGACCGCACUCGUCCGACACCGGCCUAUCGCUAAGCCUCUGACCGGCAGUGACAGCUGACAGCAAGCGCGCCAAAUCCGCUGGCUUGGAAGUACAACGCCAGCAUCCACGUCACAAGCCAAGUGUGCAACACAGGCACCGACCUGGAGGUUCUUAUAGCGCCCCUGGCAGACCCCGGCGGAGUUUAUAGCCAAGACUCCCGAGUGCUACUGGCCAGCCGUCACGCACACCGACCACGCGCGAGCGAGGAGCACGUCUGUGCGCGCCCCGCGCCGCCCCGCGCCGCGCUGCACCGCUCCAACACGCCGCACGAACCCCUGCGGCCGCCGCCGCUCCCCCGCGGUGCCGGCCGGGGGUGGGGGGCACCGCUCAGCGCAGCCCGCAGCCACACGGAGCCGGGCACUGCCCUGCCUCCGCCCCAGGCAGCAAGCAACAUCGCAGAUAAAGAGACCUGAUAAGAUGGUCUGGGCACGUGGAAUAAGUAAGUCUCAGCCGGGCUCCUGUGUGAUAUUAGCUCUGUGAGGCAUGUGAACACCUGCAUGCCAUUCACACGGCAGACCUCGAGGUUUCAGGCAGGAAGCCGUAGCAUCAGAAGCCGUCCGUGUCUGCUGUGGGCUGAGCUCUCUGCGAGAGUGCUACAACUUGUUGUGAAGCAUUUACAGCUGCUCCACUUGUCCAUAUUUUCAAACAGGCAGGAUCUUUUGAAAACGAUACCUAAUGUUAUAUUAUUAAAAUGGCUAUCCAUACAAGGCAGAGAGUGUAAAAAUGAAAAUGCUGACAGACCUGUAGAGUUGUUCAGCCAAAAUCCAGUUCCCUUCAGGGACCCGGAGCCAGGAGUUGUGCACUGUGUAGUAGCUGGGGAGAAACGAACAGACUGGUGCAGACGCUGGGCUCAUGUAGCUCCAGCCUGAGCCCUCUUCCAGCCUCUCAGACUGCUUGCUCUCCUAAAGGAUCAGGUACAUCCCAGUGCCCUGCUACAUACUUAUUCUGUAUACUAGAUAACCAUGAUAGUUGAUUACCGUGUUAAUUAUUUGUAUGUCCUUCGAUGAGGAGAGGUGACAAUCCUGACGAUAGUUCUGAUGUAGCUCCUUUUAACUCCAUGGUCAUCAGAUGAAGUUCAUCACAUUUCUGAGUGAGCUCCAAUCCCACUACCAGAAAUUAGCGGGAGAGGAUGGAGAAGAGACAGUCAACUCCACGUGGAAGAGAGAUGCUUGGUACAGGCUGCUCCAGAGCCCAACGGGAGGGGAACUGGACAGUGAGAAUGAAGAGGACAGCAACAUAACCGGACCCGAUGACAGCGAGGAGGUCGGCGACAGGAUCAGCAGCAGUGGGAGUGACAGCGACAUCAACAGCAAAAAGGACAGGGAAUCAACUGAGAUUUUAAACCCUAAAGAGUUUCUUUGGACCAAAGGUCUAUGGCAGCAGGUGGAUGUGUGGAGCCCCAGGGGAAUGGGUGUGUUUUUUGUAACACGUGCGCAGUUCUUCUUGUGCGAUGAAAGGUUUAUGAUGGAGGAUGAAUAUAUUUAACUUUAUAUAUUAAA